rnacentral:sRNA from 1 species
CCAAGGCCUGGUUUUCUGCCAUUGUUCCUCCUCCCUCAAGUCCUAGCUUCUCCAAGUGUUCUUUAUCUGGAGAGCUGUUGGGAAGAGAGUGUUUUUCAAUGUUUCCUUUCCGUCUCUGUGACUUCCAUAUCUCAUCUCUGACCUAGGGUUCCUCUGUGGGGUGGCGUUCUCAUCACCAUUGCAGAUACUUUUGUAUUUCUCUUCUUGGACAAAUAUGGUAAGGAGAGUGGGAAUGGGAGGGUCAAAGGAGCUGCUCUGUGUCAUGUGGCAGAUGGGGAAGUCUACCUUCUCUGAGCUCACUGCUGCCUUUUUUCCUUUAGGCUUGCGGAAGCUAGAAGCAUUUUUUGGCUUUCUCAUCACUAUUAUGGCCCUAACAUUUGGAUAUGAGUAUGUUACAGUGAAACCCAGCCAGAGCCAGGUACUCAAGGGCAUGUUCGUACCAUCCUGUUCAGGCUGUCGCACUCCACAGAUUGAACAGGCUGUGGGCAUCGUGGGAGCUGUCAUCAUGCCACACAACAUGUACCUGCAUUCUGCCUUAGUCAAGUCUAGACAGGUAAACCGGAACAAUAAGCAGGAAGUUCGAGAAGCCAAUAAGUACUUUUUCAUUGAAUCCUGCAUUGCACUCUUUGUUUCCUUCAUCAUCAAUGU